GAUGAACGCUGGCGGCGUGCCUAAUACAUGCAAGUCGAGCGAACGGACGAGAAGCUUGCUUCUCUGAUGUUAGCGGCGGACGGGUGAGUAACACGUGGAUAACCUACCUAUAAGACUGGGAUAACUUCGGGAAACCGUAGCUAAUACCGGAUAAUAUUUUGAACCGCAUGGUUCAAAAGUGAAAGACGGUCUUGCUGUCACUUAUAGAUGGAUCCGCGCUGCAUUAGCUAGUUGGUAAGGUAACGGCUUACCAAGGCAACGAUGCAUAGCCGACCUGAGAGGGCGAUCGGCCACACUGGAACUGAGACACGGUCCAGACUCCUACGGGAGGCAGCAGUAGGGAAUCUUCCGCAAUGGGCGAAAGCCUGACGGAGCAACGCCGCGUGAGUGAUGAAGGUCUUCGGAUCGUAAAACUCUGUUAUUAGGGAAGAACAUAUGUGUAAGUAACUGUGCACAUCUUGACGGUACCUAAUCAGAAAGCCGCGGCUAACUACGUG
rnacentral:rRNA from 1 species